rnacentral:rRNA from 1 species
UACAGAGGUCUCAAGCGUUGUUCGGAUUCAUUGGGCGUAAAGGGCGCGUAGGCGGCCAUUCAAGUCAGAGGUGAAAGCCCAAGGCUCAACCUUGGAACUGCCUUUGAUACUGUUUGGCUUGAGACCGGUAGAGGUAAGUGGAACUGCGAGUGUAGAGGUGAAAUUCGUAGAUAUUCGCAAGAACACCAGUGGCGAAGGCGGCUUACUGGACCGGUUCUGACGCUGAGGCGCGAAAGCGUGGGGAGCAAACAGG